GGGCAGGGCCGGCGGCGGGACCGCCCGCGGCAGCCAUCUUAGGGCGCUGGGGGGGCUCCGCUGCGGGGGAGAGGCCCCGACGGCCUCGUCCUCGUCCCGGGCCGGCCGGGCAGGGCCGCGGGAGCUCCCGGCACCUCCGUGCACCGCUGGCUGGCGCCGUGCCCUGCCCGCCGGCGGCGUGGAAGCGGCUGUUAAUAAAAAGAGCUGUCCCCCGUGGCGGGGGUUGUCCCCCGUGGGGCCGUGAGAAGGUGCCGCGAGGAGCUGGGGCUGGUCUGUAAUUAAGCACGGAGCGCGGUGGCACGCGUUAAGCACCAUGACCACAUAACGGGCUGUGCUUUGUUGAUAGUUGCGUGUUGAUAGUUGCUUUGGACCAGCAAAUGCCUGUCACAGCCAAGACGUUUUGUCAAAUUCAUCUGAUCUGAACUAACUUUCUGACAGCGCCGCUCCUGCUAGAGUCUCGGCUCAGUGUCUUCCAGAACAGCAAGCGGUGUGUUUUCUGAUCGUCGCUUUUGCGUUUGGCUGUAUCUGAAUUAAAUUGUCUUUAACCACAGAUGAACAUCGAGCAAGCACAUGGAGUUCCAAAUGCUGAUCCUCAGAGAAUCCACGUGUGACAGAAAGGACGGAUGAUCUUUUGACCGAGUUCCAGCACGGUGGAGUCUGCGUGUGGUAGUUUCAGGCCGAUGUACAAAAAGGGUAUAUCCUUAACCAACAUCUACCAUCUUGAAUGUAUGGGAAGGAAAAAACAACAGCGUAGUCGGCUUUUCUGGGCUUUGAGACUGCUUUGUGUCGGUGAUGCAAUGACCAAAGUUCAGCCCAGUGAUUUUGCGAUAAAACCAGUAUGAGUGAGGGGUUGCUUCCCAGAUCCUCUUAAUUUGUUUUGAGAAUUUAGAAUUGCCUGUAAUCAUUGGGUAAACCAACAGUCUUGAACGGACAGCAAUGACGACCGCCUACUUCGAAGUCCCUGGAGGAUUCUAAUUGCAGUGUUGCCUUGUGACUGUGCUGAAUUAAGAAACAGAGCUGAGCUGAAGUUCCCAGACCAAGAGAUGUGAUGGCUACUUUUUUAUGCUUUUUCAUCUAAACAAUAUCCAGCAAUGUCUAAGUCUUUUUGCAUUGUUUAUCAUUUUGAAAAUGUUGGAGGAACCACGGCUGAGUGUUCUCCUGCUCCCACCCAUGCUUUGGGAUGCGAAAGAAUAACAUGAGCACAUAAAGGCCUCCACUUCCUCUUGGCUGCAACUGGACCAUUUUAUUAGGCAAUGCACUGAGCCUGUGAUCAGUCUGAGAGCAGCUGAUGAUGAGCAGCGCCAGGAUACGGUACUGGGCUGCUGAUCAAUUUUGCAUCUUUCAGAAGACUUGAAAAAUUAGCAUCACUCUCAUAAGCCACAGUCUCACCAUGAGGACAUUAGGGCAGCCACAUCUGUACAAAAUACCUUCACCAGCAAUCUUUCACCCUCUGACAAAUCUUUUCUUCUUGAAGACCAGAAAGAUUGUUAUUGAGCUUUCCACAAAGCUGAAAUAACGCUGUGUGUUAAAAAAAUGUUAACAAUUUGAAGAAGUUAUAAAAAUUUAUAAGUUGACUGAAUACUUUGGAAAUUUCUGCAUAUUUUAAUAUAAAUAGCCAUUGCAGCCACUGGGAAUGGACCUGGAGGGCUGUAGCUUUAGUGGGGGCCCCUGGACUGCAUGCUGCGUGCAGUUGGCAUUCUUCACCUGUGCUUCUGAGGUACCUCUUCCAGUUCUGUUUUGUCCAAAAGGAAAACAGGCUGCGCAACUGGGGCCUGCUCUGUGAUGCAAAGUGCAGCAUGAGCCUGUCAUACAGAAGUACCAUUUUACAGAGCACAGACACAGAGAGAAUUAAUGAUGUGCAUAAGUCUGCGUAAGGAAAUAUGUUACAGAACUGAUCUUGGGUUUUCUCAGCUUCUGAUGUUUAGCCACUGGACUGGCUCUCCUCGUGCUCCGCAGCACAGUUACAUUCCUUUCUCGCUGUGGCUCUUGGUCAUCCCAUCCAGCACAGCCAAGGAGGCUGCCACAGAUAACAGCGAUCAGGGAAGAGACUGUCCUCUUGCUGCUCUUGCUCUGUGGUGUAUCUAUCUGUAGACAGCCUGGCUAAUUUAUAAGUCCUGGAAUCAGGAUCCUACAAGGAGUUGUACAGGAUAAACCACUACACAUUCAAAAGAAGACGACCAUCCCGAUAGGAUAUAUCUCAUCCUACUUGAGCUGUCAGAAGGCUAGCGAUCCAGUCCAAGCGAAGUGUAUGGGCUCUCUCUUUCCCUCAUCAGUAAACAAGGAUUCAUCAGUUUAUGAAAAAUAUCUUUUCUCUGGAUAAAAGAGAGCUACUGUGAGUCCUCUUCCACCAUGAUCAAGUUAUUUGCAGUGUAUAAUGUGAAAGACAAGUCUGGAAGUUUUAGAUAUCAUCUUUUGAAGAGAAUGAAACUAGAUUCAGUACAGCUGUCUAUAGUAAGAUUGAGGAGUGGAUGACUAAUGUCGUUGUGACUGGUGCCAUCUAAUUGGCUCAAAAGAAUCUUCUGGUUCUCAUGAUUGGCAUCACUUCCAUCAUGUGCAAGCCAUUGGAGAGCAAAGACCAUCUUUUGAACUGUCAUGCCACCCCCAGCUCUCCAUUGCCUAACCGAGGGUGCAUUGCAAUUGCUGUUCUUACCUACUGUAGUGGUGGAUCAUGGGAAAAAGCUUGCUCAGAGAGCCUCAUUCUGGAUGGGCCUGAUGGGGAGAGAUGGCACUCAGGUGAUGAAGAAAUACUCCACAUUAUUCACCAGCCUAGCGAGAAGGCGGCUUUGUGCUCAUUUUGAAAGAGGCCAGUGCAAAAGUUAGCUAGAAGUUCCAUCAAGAAGACCCUUAUUGACCACGUUUUCUCCUUGCAUCCUGCGUUGCAGAAUGGUUGGUUGUACACCUGCCUUUGUGAAGUCAGCUGGAGCUCAAAAGUUGGUUGUUCUGAGCUUGGAGACCACAUUCAGACCAAAGCUAAUCUGCAUGUUUUUGCUGUAGUUUUGGCAGCAAUUCACCAUUCUGUGCUUACCAUAUGGAGAAAAGGGUUGGGUGUACCUGGGACUAUUUGGCUAUUUGGAGACUGCACUGUGGGCUCCCUUUUUGCAGGGUUCAGUCCUGCUCCAGUUAAAUUGAGGAAAGUUAAGCCCUUGUCCACAUUUGGGGCUAGCUCCAGUCUGCCUACCUGUUAGAUGUAAACACUGCUGCUGUCCCCACAACCCUGCCUGACAGUGCCUCUCUUGGUAACCUCACCAGCUCUGUCUCCAAACUCUCUUCUACCCUUAGCCUACCUGGUUUACCCAGCCCUGUUUGCUGCCCUUCCUUGCCAUCUCUAAUCACAAAUAACAUCGAUGCACAGCAGUGAAUAAAUACUUCUUUAUAGAGAAAAGGAAAGCUGUCUCUGAUGUGCCGUCCGUUGCCUGAUGGAUUUGCUGAUCUGUUGCCGGUUCUUUUCAUUUCUUAGAUUACUGCUCCUCAGGACAAGGACUGUGUCUUUUGUGCCUGUGCACCUCCACCAGGUGGAGGAUACAGACUUGAGCCUGCAGGGAGCAGAGAGCUCAGUUCCUGUAGAUGCUCCUUGGGACUGGCCUUCACAGCUGUAGGACUCAGCAGCCCAUGGCAGCCAGCCAAGUUGAAUGAAAAGCAUGUGUCUUUUGAAGAACAGUGACUGAAAGAAAUACUGAUGACUGCUGGGACAUCUACAGAAAAGGAUAAGAAAAUUACUCUACUACAACAGGGGCUCUGUUAACUCUUUCUUGUAGGUUGUAUAUAUUAAUAGCAACAACUAAAGUUUUGUAUUUUUGCAGGGAAACACACAAGGCUCUGAAUUGUAUUGUUUUAAUUGCAGCUAACUGAAUGAAUUAAGUGGAAAAUCGCACACAGUGCUUUGAUUGUCUAACUCUCUGUAUGUGAGGCUUUGGGAACAGUUUGUUAUUAUAAAAGAACAGCACUAACAAGAAAUCAGCCAACAUAUAAUUGCUAGGCUGAGGGACAGUUUGGGGAAAGCUGAUAUUUAUUUAUAAAUUAUUAAAUAAAAGAACAUAAUAGGUGGAUCAUCUCUUACUGCCUCCACACUUCAGAUAUUACUCAUCUUCCUAAGCUCUGUGUUCUCCAGGACGUUGCUUCUUAUAACUAAUCCAGGAGUUGAAACCACCCACAUCCAGGAAAGGAGAUGCCUGUGCAUUUGUUAUGAUGGCAGUUUUAGUUAUGGGACUCACCUAAGAACAUGAAUCUGCAGUUCAAGGAAAGGACUCGACCAGAGAGGUGCUUUAUGUGCCUAAAAUACACAUGAGCACCUGGGACCCUAUUUACGUAGCCUAAAUUCUGGUCAGUGUUUCCUACUUGACAAUCAUCUAUCCAAUAUCCUAAAUAGAAGGGCUUAAGAGCAGUUUAGGCACUCAAUUUAGUGGGGUUCUCAAAAGCAUUAGAUAUAUUAUUUCCAUACAUUUUUGAAGGAAUGAUGCUACUUCUGUUUGUCUCUUGUUCUUUGCUCCACCUGUUUAGUGCUAUAUGACCCUAGAACCACAGCCACUUUGCAAGACAGAGAGGAGGAAGAUGGUGGUUGGACUCACCAAGAGGGUGGAACAGUAUUUCAUCAUUGUUUUAGCUACCGAAUAUCUGCUCUAGCUUUUCUCAGGGAUGGAGCUGCAGUGCCUUCCUCCAGGAUAGACUUGUGGUCUUUUCUCCAGGAGGGCAAAGAAAGAAGUGGACAACAUUCAAACAUGUAACCUGUGUGGUGGAAGCAUGAGGACAACUUUGAAUGCACAGUGAACUCCAAGAUGUGUGGCAGCUACAGAUAAGCUUAAAAAAUUCUGUUGUGUAUCGAUGUUACUGCGGAAAACACAGAGCUGAGAGGCAGAUCAGUGGUGCUCAGGAAGGGUGUUACCAUGGGAUGUGCCUCCCAACCUGCGCGCAGUCGGGGAGCUGUGGUGCUGCGCAGAGGCACCCGCACUAGCCAGGAGGUUGGUGCUUGCCAGGCAGCCCAUUUCCUGUGGGCUGUGCAGCAUCCAGGCUGACCCUGCUGCAGUCCAACCUAACCUGGGGCCAGCUCAAGACCUCCCAGCUCUGUGAGCUGUACGCUCAUAGAGGAGGAUCAGAUGGCCUCUUGGAUGCUUGCUGCCCUCCUUCCCAGACACACCUGCUCUCUGAUCCUUUUCCUCACUUUUCUUUAUAGAGAAACUCUUGUGUUGUAGAUCUAUAAACUGCCAGUGUAUGAGGGCUAAAGGUGUUCUGCAUUUUUGGCAUUUAAAUUAUUGAUAGUGUCCUAGAGCAAAAAGCGUGUGUCUUGUUUUGGUGCUGCUCAUGGGCAGGACAAAAUGAGGAAAACCUGAGGGACACCAAGGAGCAGUGUACGGCAGGGAGGAAACCCACUCCCCUGCCCACCUUUGGAUUUAUCCCGAGGAAUGGAGGCUUUGCAGUUCAUACAGGCAGUGCCUUCCCUCAGCCCUGCAAAACUAAAGAUAAAUGCUAAUGGCAGAAGCCUCUCUCAGUAUGAAUGGGCAAACAUCAGCCCCUGAAAAAUGUGCUUGCUGUUUUAGUUAAAAACAAACAAAUCAGUUCUUGUGCUUUUGAGAAUUUAAACUUCCCUAAGUAAGCAAUAGAUUUUUCAGAAGAAAAAAAUUUUACUAGGAGGCAAUCCAGUAAGUCACAUUAAGAAUAGGCAGGAGCCCUAGGAGGCCCAGAUUCAAAUCUUAGAUUUGUCAGCAUUUCCCAAUAUAUUCCUGGAAAAAUCAGCUAAAUCAUUUAUAAGACAAGAAUAAUCUUUCAGUGUAGUCAGUGUACUUUUCUGAUAAACCCAGAGUGAUGACAGGCUUGUUACAGCAGGAAUAAAAUUCACCUUGCUGCUGGGGUACUGUGGUAACUAAUUAGGUAAAACGUUUUCUUAGCCUUUCUGAACAAGGGGACAGGUGGGUGCUGUCAGUUCCCUGGCUGUCCAAAAUCACUGAGUGCUGUAUCAUGUCUUGAAAGAAGUAAUAGCUGGACUGACCCUGGAACUUAUUUGCAUUGAGGGAAAGGACAGUGCUGUCCUCGUUCUUAAUUUAUCAGUCCUCACUGAACCGAGAGCUGACUAAGGAUCUGACUAAGAAGUGCUCAUGCUGUACGGUGAGAUUUUGGUUACUGUGGAGGCUUUCUCCUUGCCAGGCUAAACUAGAUGCUGGAAGUAAAGAAUAGGGAAGGUCCCAAAGAGGCACUUCUCUUAAAAGAAACAAAAACAAUUUUUUUUUUCAGUUUGUGUGUGACAGUGAGGCAGCCUUGGUUAGCAUUGGUUUUGUGGAAACCUCUGCAGUUGAUCAAGACAGGAGAUGAGUAAGAUCGUGCUCGCUCAUGAAAGCACCUUCUUCCAGAGACCACUGCUUGCUCCUGAUCUGCUGCUAAUUAGUCUCCGCCCUGUGAUACUGAGUCAUUAUAUUCUUUGCCCUUUUCCAUGGCUGCUUUUGGUGUGGAAACUGACACAAAUAUUGCUCCCCUGCUGGAAAUCAUCAUGUCAUCUUCAUCGUCAGUACCUGUAAGCCCAGAUGAGAAGGGAAUAAUUUUAUUAUUUUGGAUAAUGAUCUCUGACAGGAAUGCUUUGAAGCUCAGCCAUGCUAUGGUGGUACAGUGCACAUAGCAUCUGACUUGUUUCUGUAAUGUCACAAAUUUUAACUCUUAAAACAGAAAAGCUCUUCAGCAGCCUUUAAAGCUGCUGCCAGGAAAAGGUGGAGGGAUUCUACACUUUAGCUCUUCAGUACUUUGACACCAGUUGCCUCUGUGCUUGACACGAGGUGUAUGCAUUGGUUUCAGCCCUACAACUUCCCUGCAUCCCCUUGCUCUGCGUAUCACUGGAUUAAAUGCUCUAGCCACCUGGUUCAUGUGGCAAAUUUGGUUUUGCUUUGUGUUCCUGACAGAGGAAGAAGGGGACGGGCUCCAAGGGUCACCAGUGUCUUUCACUGGUAUGACUGACUUCCUUCCUGAAUCUCUGCCGGCAUUAUGAGCAUGGGGCUAUUCGGGAGAAUGUGUCCUUCUGCUGAACUGUACUCAGCUGAGGCUGGUUCGGGCUUAGUGCUGUGACUCAGAUGAGCUGGAGAGAGACCCUUGGGACUUAUGGAAGCAAUUAGCUUAAGAUGACUGAGGUGGAAAGUUGCUAGCAUAGUGGGUUACUGCAGCAGAUGUUUGCAGUCAUCCUGUUAUGUCUUAAGCCCUGCAGUGGGACUAGCCUCCUGGCAGAGUCCACUGUGAUGGGCAGUGGCAAAGCAGUAGUGGCUGUGCCCAGGCAAAAGGAGCAAAAUGGAAGUGGGUCAUUAAAAACUUUAAUUAGCAAAUAGUAGGAUGCAGCUAGCAGUUCCAAGUAUCCAUGUCCCGUGCUGUGUUGCUCCUUCCCGUAUCACCUCUGAACCCCCAGUGCCUGCUGUUUUCCUGUCCUCAGCACAGUGGGGCUAGGUGGCUCCUCAUCUUUCUGGCAGAGCUUGUCAGCUCAAAAUUUAUAAUUUGUCCUUAUGGCCAGCACCUGCCUUUGGUUGGCAGCUGGGAAUCCUGUGGGGCUUGAGGUGCUUGGCUUUUGGUGGGGAAUAAAAAUGCAAACAGCCUUGGCUGAGCCUGUCUGCCUGGGCCUGCUGGGUCUGGACAGAGCAGGGAGCGUAGUGGAGCUUGGCUCAGGGCUGAGAGGAGGCUUUGGAGCCCUCUGCACUCAGCAUUCACUGUAUCUGUCAGCAAACCUCUGUUUCGCUUCUUUGCUGUGUUCCUGGGGGAAUUAGGAUGGCUGUGUCAAGUAAUUCCACCCAUUGCAUGUGUACUAUGCUGACAAAACUGAUGUUGACUGUCUGAAAAGGCCACAUUGAUGGUGACAACUGCCAGUGACUCAUUUGAUGGAAGGAUAAGAAGAUCAUAAUAAAACAAUUUUCCUGUGGCACAGCGCUUACAAGAGUUGGAGUAGCCCAAGCACCCAGUAACACCCUGAAGACUGGAGGCUUUUUCUACUUUUUUUUUUCAAAUCUUUCUCUUAAGCAUUUAUUGCAAUAAAAAUAAAGACACAGGAAGAGGAAGAAGAGAACAUCUGAAGUGUUUUAAAAUAAACGUGUCUUUUUUUUGAACAUGCUUGGUGAAACAGUUCUACGGUAACACCAAUAAUUGUGAAAGGGACAAAUCCCCACCACUGAAUAUUUGUUCCCCUUGCAGCAAGCAUUGGUAA